rnacentral:rRNA from 1 species
CCUACGGGCGGCAGCAGUGGGGAAUAUUGGACAAUGGGGGCAACCCUGAUCCAGCCAUGCCGCGUGUGUGAAGAAGGCCCUCGGGUUGUAAAGCACUUUCAGUGAGGAAGAACGCCUGGUGGUUAAUACCCAUCAGGAAAGACAUCACUCACAGAAGAAGCACCGGCUAACUCCGUGCCAGCAGCCGCGGUAAUACGGAGGGUGCGAGCGUUAAUCGGAAUUACUGGGCGUAAAGCGCGCGUAGGUGGCUUGAUAAGCCGGUUGUGAAAGCCCCGGGCGCAACCUGGGAACGGCAGCCGGAACUGUCAAGCUAGAGUGCAGGAGAGGAAGGUAGAAUUCCCGGUGUAGCGGUGAAAUGCGUAGAGAUCGGGAGGAAUACCAGUGGCGAAGGCGGCCUUCUGGACUGACACUGACACUGAGGUGCGAAAGCGUGGGUAGCAAACAGGAUUAGAUACCCCGGUAGUC